UUUUUACGCGGAUUAUUCUUUAUAGCUUGCUACAAAGAACAAUUAGUGGCAGACGGGUGAGUAAUGCAUAGGAAUCUACCUAGUAGUAUGGGAUAGCCACUAGAAAUGGUGGGUAAUACUGUAUAAUCCCUGCGGGGGAAAGAUUUAUCGCUAUUAGAUGAGCCUAUGUUAGAUUAGCUAGUUGGUAGGGUAAAGGCCUACCAAGGCGAUGAUCUAUAGCUGGUCUGAGAGGAUGAUCAGCCACACUGGAACUGAGAUACGGUCCAGACUCCUACGGGAGGCAGCAGUGGGGAAUAUUGGACAAUGGGCGCAAGCCUGAUCCAGCUAUGCCGCGUGAGUGAGGAAGGCCUUAGGGUUGUAAAACUCUUUCAGUAGGGAAGAUAAUGACGGUACCUACAGAAGAAGUCCCGGCAAACUCCGUGCCAGCAGCCGCGGUAAUACGGAGGGGGCAAGCGUUGUUCGGAAUUAUUGGGCGUAAAGGGCAUGUAGGCGGUUCGGUAAGUUAAAGGUGAAAUGCCAGGGCUUAACCCUGGAGCUGCUUUUAAUACUG
rnacentral:rRNA from 1 species